AAAUUGAAGAGUUUGAUCAUGGCUCAGAUUGAACGCUGGCGGCAGGCCUAACACAUGCAAGUCGAACGGUAACAGGAAGCAGCUUGCUGCUUUGCUGACGAGUGGCGGACGGGUGAGUAAUGUCUGGGAAACUGCCUGAUGGAGGGGGAUAACUACUGGAAACGGUGGCUAAUACCGCAUAACGUCGCAAGACCAAAGAGGGGGACCUUCGGGCCUCUUGCCAUCAGAUGUGCCCAGAUGGGAUUAGCUAGUUGGUGAGGUAACGGCUCAC
rnacentral:rRNA from 2 species